GACGAACGCUGGCGGCGUGCUUAACACAUGCAAGUCGAACGGAAAGGCCCUGCUUUUGUGGGGUGCGCGAGUGGCGAACGGGUGAGUAACACGUGAGUAACCUGCCCUUGACUGUGGGAUAACUUCAGGAAACUGGGGCUAAUACCGGAUAGGAGCUCCUGCUGCAUGGUGGGGGUGGGAAAGUUUCGGCGGUUGGGGAUGGACUCGCGGCUUAUCGGCUUGUUGGGUUGGUAGUGGCUUACCAAGGCUUUGACGGGUAGCCGGCCUGAGAGGGUGACCGGCCACAUUGGGACUGAGAUACGGCCCAGACUCCUCCGGGAGGCAGCAGUGCGGAAUAUUGCACAAUGGGCGGAAGCCUGAUGCAGCAACGCCGCGUGCGGGAUGACGGCCUUCGGGUUGUAAUCCGCUUUCGCCUGUGACGAAGCGUGAGUGACGGUACUGGGUAAAGAAGCACCGGCUAACUACGUG
rnacentral:rRNA from 1 species